GGUUGAUCCUGCCAGUAGUCAUACGCUCGUCUCAAAGAUUAAGCCAUGCAUGUGUAAGUAUAAAUAAUUAUAUAGUGAAACUGCGAAUGGCUCAUUAUAUCAGUUAUAGUUUAUUUGAUAAUUAAUUUGAAAUUUCUUACGAAAUUUUAAUACUAAUUGGAUAACCGUAGUAAUUCUAGAGCUAAUACAUGAAUUAAAAUCCUAACCUUUAUGGAAAGGAUGUAUUUAUUAGAUGAUAAAACCAAUAUAAUUAAUAAGGUGAAUCAUAAUAAUUAAUCGAAUCGUAUGGUUGU
rnacentral:rRNA from 1 species